rnacentral:rRNA from 1 species
UACGGAGGGUGCAAGCGUUAUCCGGAUUUACUGGGUUUAAAGGGUGUGUAGGCGGGCUUUUAAGUCAGUGGUGAAAUCUCCGGGCUCAACCCGGAAACUGCCAUUGGUACUAUUAGUCUUGAAUUUUGUUGAGGUAGGCGGAAUAAGUCAUGUAGCGGUGAAAUGCAUAGAUAUGACUUAGAACACCAAUUGCGAAGGCAGCUUGCUAAACAAAUAUUGACGCUGAGGCACGAAAGCGUGGGGAUCAAACAGG